UGAGCAAGAGGGAUGUGGAGGAAG
rnacentral:piRNA from 1 species